rnacentral:misc_RNA from 1 species
GUUCAGUUUUGUACAAGAUACCAUUGGCUGAAGGAUGUCGUGACCAGCCCACCCAAUGUUAACAAGCUAGGAUGGCUGAGUCUUCUCAAUAUAUAGUGAUUAAAUUCACAUAUUGAUAUCAGGAUAUAGUAUUGCCUGAAGCUACUCUAUUUCAAAAGCACAUAAGCUGAAAUUUUUUGCAUUUUUGACAAAUUUUAAAAGUCAAUUGAUAGGUGUAUCUCCCUGCGUGGGGACAUGAUGGAUGAUACAUAAAUACAGGAAUCUUGUUUGACACUCAUCACUCAGUAUAGGGAACCCAUGUUCAUCAUUAAGUGUGCACAUGAUUACCUGUAAAACAAUUACCUGUAACAUUAUAUUACAACGAGGUGGUGACUUUAAUAUCAGGACGUUGCUGACUGACAAACAUUUCUGUGAGCUGACUGUGCUGAAUAUUCGUCUAACGUGUGGAAACAUUUAAAACCUUUAAUUUGGAUAUGUUCCGUAUCUAUAAAAUCAACUGGAGCAAAUCAAAGAGACUUUUAAGUUUACAAAUCGUAGUCAGAUAAACUGUUCAGUAUGGAUAUGCUCAGACACCAGUUGUGUAUCAUUGUCAUCACUGUGGUGCUUGUCCUGUUACGAGUGUGUGAGUCCGGGAGUCUGGCCCUGGACUGUAGGCAGGACACUGGAAAGGGGUGUGGCAGAACUCCGGUGACUAAGCCCCAGGGAGAAGAGGACGUAACUGUGAUAACCCCCCCUGAGAACGCAGAGGAACAUCGAGAUAACUGUACAAACGAUGAGUACUUUACCCAAGGAUGCCUCAACGGGGGAAAGUGCUUCGUGGUUGUCAUCGACUCCAUAAGGUUACUUAAUUGCCACUGUCCAUCGGAUUAUAUUGGGAAAAGAUGUGAACUGUUCGACUUUCAGCCUGGUGGUCAAGAGGAGGGGAAGGACAGAAUAGCCACUGCGGGAGUGGCGGUCCUGACUGUAGCUGGGGUCCUGUUUGUCACCGUUCUUAUUUUCAUUGCGAUAUGGAGGAAAAGGUACUUAAGAAAGAAAAGCAGCGAGAAAGCUAAAGACAAGGAAAAACUUCAUGAUCAGGAUCCAAUGAGAUCAAACGGUUCACCAUCAGAAUCUGAAAGUGCAUCAUCAACCCUAAAGAAGGAUGGUUCCAUUAACAACGAGCAGCUUGAGCCGCUACAAAACACAGUAUUUGUAGACAAAGGCAAUGGCGUACCAGUAUAGGGCAUAGGUCAGGAUCACUGUGUGACUAACUUGCACUAACCAAAACAGUAUCCAGGUACAGGGUCAGUGCCAGGAGGGACCUGUUGCUACACUGGUCAUGACUGAACUAGACUGGACAUGCAAUGUUGAUGGAAAAAAGGUCUUGUUUGAAGGUCUUUCGGACAUCUGGAGUGAUGGAUAAUUUUGUUUCUUAGUAAUAUACUCAAAUAUCACCAGACACUGACCAACUAGGAAGAGAUUGGCCAGCUCGCGUAAAAGGAAGUUUGUGGUGCUAGCAUAACCAUUAGUGUUUAUUAUUAUCAUCAGUUACCUGAUCUUAUCCAUGUGGAGGUUACCUAAUGGCAAAACAAUUAGCACUAGUCACUCAUUAGAUCAGACCAAGCAUUAGGCUUUCUUCUGUGGCAGCUUAGACAGACAGACAGAGGUCGUGUGGAGACUUCAGCUGACUUGUACUCGUGUAUCCAUAAGGCUUAGGGCUGAUGUUAGAACUAAUGUCAUGCUUUGGCAAAUGAAAUUUUGAAAAAUACAAAAAAAAAUGUAUUUAACUGUUAUGUAAAUUAAAUUAUCGAAUAGAAUUAAUUUGAUCACCAUUAAAACAAAUCUGAAUUAGCUUUGAUGAAGAAAUUUUACAAGUUAAAAUAAUGUAUGUUGACCACUCUUCUGUUAGUGCUUCCUACACAUACUGUUACAACCCAUUGGAUCAUUAUUAUCUAACUAGUGUGAUGUCAGAUAGGAUGUAGGUCUCUGCUGUCUAGUCAGCAGAAACAAUGGAUCUGUGGAUAUGUGAGAAUGGAUAGAAUGCAAUGAGUGUUUGAUUUCAUUAAGGUGUUGUUCUUUUGAAUGAAAUGGGUCACAGAUGAUGUUUGCAUGAAUGAAAUGUUGUGUACUUCUCUUAUUUUGUUAUUUGUGAUUCUUUAACACAAAGAAAUAUUUGUUUCUCAAUGAUUUUAAAAUCCAGCAAAAUGUAAGUUUAUGGCAUUUACUUACCAUGUAAACUAAACAAAUAAAUAUCAUGUUUUUUUCUAGACAGGAAAGUUCCUCUCUAUGAAAUUGUUGAAUUUGAUCUCUAUUCACAUUAUCCUACAUGAGAUAGGGGAGAUAACCCUAAAUAAAAAUAUAUCAGUAAUUUUGUCAGGUACUGUACUGUAAAAAAAUAUUAUAAAAACAUUAGAUACAUGCAUUUACAAUUUUGUUUACUUGUAAUAUUUAAAGAAAACUAAAUUGGUAUGAAUGGAUAUAAGUUAAUUAAAAAGAAAUUUAGCUUUAAUUAAUAGAGACGGCAUUGCUUAAGUUUUGCCUGGUGAUCUUCAUGAAAUCCAGUCUAUCCUUGCUUCUAAAGGAAAAUAAUACUGCGUAUGAGCCUGCUUCUGCAUGGUUCUUCUUUAAAAUGAGAAAAUAUGUUUUUAUAUGUGAAGACAGAAUCAAUUUAAUUGUGGAUACAACAUGGAGUUUGAUGAUAGGUCAUUUAUUGUGACAAUUGGUGACAAUUUUACAAUGACUCUUAAAGAAUAUAUCCGGGGUUGGCAGGUAUGUUCUGUUAUUGAAAAGUUUUUAAAUAAGGCCAAUGAUUGUUAAAUUUUAAAUAAAAGGUAAGUAUUGAAAAGUUGAUUUAAAAUUGAUAAUGAUGUAAAGGCUACAGUAUAAUGGUUGUAUGUAUGAAGCUAGUUUGUCUGUUAUUAUGGAGUAUAUGUGUGUUGUUGUAUUAUGGAACGUAUGUACAUUUUACUGUGGACCCUCGUGUGCUGGUGUCCUCUACAAGCAAUGUGAUAAUCAUGGUAUCUCAUACUUAUUUGUGCCAUUUGUUUCUUCAGUUCAGCCUUUAUUGAUAUUUGUGUGUAGGUGAUUUCAGUUACUUCUGUGUGUACAUAGUAAACUGGAAAAAGAAGUUUAUAAUUUAAAACGGUUUGCAUUUAUUGAAUACUACACAAAGACUUGUUCAUAAUAAAUAUGAACCAAUGUAAUAGAUUGUGUAUGUCCUUCCCUACCAGUUUGUUGGCUGCCCUCAGCAGUCCUAACUGAGAUGAUCUGGCAGUUCAUGUUUUUUAAUUACAAAGGAAGUCUUAACUUAUACAUAUAAAACUAUACACUGCAAUUUAUUAUGUAUUUUAUAUAUAUAAACUUGGACCAGUAUGUUUUGAAUGGCGUUUAUUAGUUAUAUCUGUAUUGUGACACACUGCUUUACCUGUGAUAAAGGCUAACAAUGACCUACUUUAUUUAAAUAACUAAAAUAAUGUGAUCAGAGGACUUUUUUGCCAGCGUAGAAUUUCUCAAAUAAAGUAUGGUAAAUGAAGUAAAUUAGCACAACAUGCAAUAUGUUUCCUGUAUGUUCUACAACAGGUGAGGCACUUCCUGUCAAUACCACCACAGGUGAGACACUUCCUGUCAAUACCACCACAGGUGAAACACCUCUGUCAAUACCAUCACAGGUAAGACACUUCCUGUCAAUACCACCACAGGUGAGACACUUCCUGUCAGUAUUAUCACAGGUGAGUCACUUCCUGUCAGUAUUACCACAGGUGAGACAAUAUUGAUCUGUACCACUACAGGUUAGGUACUUCCUGUAAAUACCACUACAAGAGAGUCACUUCCUGUCAGUAUUACCACAGAUGAGUCAAUUCCUGUCCGUAUUACCACAGGUGAGACAAUAUUGAUUUGUACCACUACAGAUGAGUCACUUCCUGUCAGUAUUACCACAGGUGAGACAAUAUUGAUCUGUACCACUACAGGUUAGACACUUCUUGUCAGUACCACUACAGGAGAGUCACUUCCUGUCAGUAUUACCACAGAUGAGUCAAUUCCUGUCAGUAUUACCACAGGUGAGACAAUAUUGAUCUAUACCGCUACAGGCGAGUCACUUCCUGUCAGUAUUACCACAGGUGAGACAUUUUUCGCCACCACUACAGAUGAGACAUCUGAUGAGUACACCAAUGGCGAGUUGGUACAUUGUCCAGUCCUCUAACAUACAUAUAUAGUCAUAAUGUAUAAUGCUAAUUUGAUAAAGUAUCACUUCCAUUGUUAAAAUCAUUUAUAGAUAUGAUUUGCAUAUAUAGAAAAUAAACCAAAGUAUAAUUAAUUUCACACGCACAAAACUUAUAUAACAUAAUUGUCACAAAUUUUGCUUUGUUUCACUACUUGUUGCAACCUAAAUUUAUGGGCACAUCAUAAAACAAAUUGGAAAUAAAGGAUACAUUUAGAAAAGAAGACAGAUUUUAUGAAAUAAAUUAACACAGGCAGGCACUUGUGUCUAAUUUGGAAUAAAAAGAAAACAGCUAAAUUUCUUUUUUUAUCCCAGAAAGCCAUCUCAUCAUAUUGACUAUGUCAUUGAACCUAUUGGUAAUAGCAGACUCUAGCCUUUAAUUUUUAACAUAUUUACAACCUCCCUGUGACAUAUCUCGAUUUCAAUGAGGUCAGAAGUAUACAGUAUUUGCUUUGUGCAUCCUAUAUUGUCCCAAGUGUUCAUACAUGUAGGUCUGACCAUCAGAAAGGAUUCUGGGUUGUUUAUCUUAUUUUUUGAAGGGUAAUCAAACUUAGUACAUUGUGUAUGUGUGUCCAUCAUAUACAGGAAAUGGAUUGUACUAAAAGUAAUCAUGCAAUUUAUGGUAUGGUAAUCUCAAACUAUGUUUUUGAAGCAUUUUCCUACAUUAUUUUAUGUAAGAUCAUCACAUUUAGUUUGUAUGAUGAAGGGAAGACAGAGAAUCACAUAACAAAAGUAGGUCACUGGAACCUUUAUUUUGACCUCUGACCUCAAUCAAAGAAAACAGUAAUUGAAGCAUUUAUCUUGCUCUGAUCGACUUCGUAUGUGGGUACAUGUAGAUGGAGUGUCAUGUGCCAAUAGUGAAUACCUAUACCAUGUAUACUUUAAAUGUACCUAUUUUAGUGGUACUCUCAUUUUAGCACUUCAGAUAAACAUAAUACUAAGUUAUGAUUGUGCCAGUCAAAGUUCCUAUGUAUUGUUCUCUAUUUCAACAUUCAUCAAUGCCCUAAUUUGUAAAAUUUAAUAAUGAGCAGAAACAAGUAUGUAACAUUAUAUUGACCUCUGACCACAAUCACAGAAAAACUGGUUGUGGAAAACUUCUGCUGUACAAUAUCAUGUGCAUGCGGGAACAAAUAACUUAGAAUACAACUUGUCACUAAGUGUGAGAUCAAACUUAAGGACAAAGUGAGUUGGUUAUGUUUUAUACAGUAGAUAUGGCCUGAACCUUAUUUUACAAAAGAGAGGUCAAAGGUCUAAAAUCAGGUCAAAUGAUCCUUUGCAAGUCCACGGUAUCUACAAAGUAGAUCAGAAGUCAAAAUACAGGUCAAAUGAUCCUGUGCAAAUCCCGGAUAUCCAAAAAGUAGGUCAGAGAUCAAAAUAUUGGUCAAAUGAUCCUGUGCAAACCCCGGAUAUCCACAAAGUAGGUCAGAGAUCAAAAUACAGGUCAAAUGAUCUUGUGCAAAUCCAGGAUAUCCACAAAGGAGGUCAGAGAUCAAAAUAUAGGUCAAAUGAUCCUGUGCAAAUCCAGGAUAUCCACAAAGUAUGUCAGAGGUCAAAAUACAGGUCAAAUGAUCUUGUGCAAAUCCAGUAUAUCCACAAAGCCAGUACUUCAAGAUGGGUUCUCCCUCAUGUUCAGUAUUUCAAAGCAAUAUGGACAUUUUGUUGUAUUACAUUCAAAACUGAUAGGAGGUAAUCUCACUGUAUUUUGAUGUGCUUUAAUAUCCAAUCCUGAAAUGCUGCUGGUCAAAGGCACAUGUAUAUUUCCUUAUUCAUUCCUAUCAAAACAUGACAAAAUCUAGUAUGUCAUUUUCUUUUGCCAAAAGUUUUCUGAAAGGAAAUAAAAUAACCGUGACAAAUGGAAACUACAUUCAUAAUGCAUAUAUCAAGAUGCAUAUUUGUAGCACAGAUGAACUGCCAUCUGAUUUUACUAUGUUAAGUUUUUAUUUCUAUUAAAAUCCUAGUAUGUGUACCUCUUAUUCAAGUACUUAUACGCAGUGUGAGUUUUAUUUUCAUUCCAUAAAUGCUUGAACCUAUUAAGUUAUAUGUAUAUUCUGAUUAUACAUCAAUAUGUCAUGUCUUUUGAAUUAUACUGAUGUAAGACUAAGUGUUAACACUUACAGAUCUGUGUUGAUGUAUGCAGCUGUAUUUGCUUUAUCCAGUGACUCUUGGUAGAAGUGAUUAACAAAAAGUCAAUUCUUGGUAGUAGUGAUUAACAAAAAGUCAAUUCUUGGUUGUAGUGAUUAAAAAAAGUCAACUCUUGGUUGUAGUGAUUAAAAAAAGUCAACCCUUGGUUGUAGUAAUUAAAAAAAGUCAACCCUUGGUUGUAGACUUAACAAGUUGGCCCUUGAUUGGAGUGAUAAUAAGUCCUCUAUCCAGUGACUCUUAUUUGUACUGACUAUUAAGUCUUGAAUCAAGCACCUGACUCAAUAUCCAUGUGAUUGAUGGUGGGUGAUAGGUCACUCAAUGAUGAUGUGAUUUUAAAAUGUUUAAAUAUCAGCACGAAAUGUGAAUUAUUUAACGGAGUCGCUGCAUAAACCGAAUGUCAGCAAGUUCAUCUGAGUUCGCCAUGACGUCUACACAGGGGCUCGUUAUCUACCUAACUGUAACCUGUAUGGUAGGAGUACACCAAGAGAAUCGUCCUUGUACACACUCAAAUAUUUAUCAAUAAACAGUAUGUUUUGU